rnacentral:rRNA from 1 species
UACGGGUGGCGCAAGUGUUAUUCCUCAUGACUGGGCGUAAAGGGUGCGUAGUAUGGAUAAAAUAAAUUUAAAGUUAAAUACAACAUAACUUUUUCACUAUUAUCUAGAGUGAUUUAGGACGAUAAUUGGAACUUCCGUGACAUUAGAGUUAAAAUGCGUUUUAAAAACUGGAAAGAACACCAAAGGACAAAGGCAGUUAUCGAUUUUCACUGACGUUGAGGCA